rnacentral:lncRNA from 1 species
UUUUCGCGGUGCCUCCCACUCUUCAUGAUGUCUUCUCCGCUUGCAUCGCCUCGUUCUCUCUGUCACUCCCCCUUGCUCUUUCCACCACUCCACCUCGCUCGCCUCAUGCCACUCUUCUGCGCCGUUGCCGGGACAGAGAGGCAGCAUGCCUGCGCGCCUGUGAACUCGAAGCGCGCCCCACGCUGCCUGUGUUGCCUUCCCCUUUCUUCCCUCGCGCACAACGCUCUCCACAUACCCCACCGGAGAGGAGGACGGCGGCGGCUCCGACGAUAUAGGUGGCACAUGGAUCUGGAUAUGAGGUCUUCUUCCUCCUCUAGAUCUGGAUUUGAGCCCCCCCCCAACUCCUUCCACAUCAUCCUCCUGCUCCUCCUCCUUCCUCCUCCUCCUCUCCCGUUUUGGAUCUAAGGGAUGUGGUGGUGUUUAAGGUUCCAGUGAGCUCUCGGUGUUCAGCUCUUGUGUUCGUUGGAAUGGUUCUUUUUCAGUGUUGCAACAGGCGAUUUGGAAAUGUUACAGUGGCAUUCUUUUUGUUGCUGUAACAUCCCUGAUGUUACGAAUACUAAAACUGGAUCAUGUCAUCAUAAGCAUUGCAAAGCAUAAUUGUUGAGCACAUCAUUAUGCAUCAACUUAAGAAUAAGUUUAUUUUGGUUGAUUGUGCUUAGGGAAUAAAAGUGUGUUUAUCAUGCUUGUGAUGGUUGUUUAAUCCCUAGCUAAGGAGGGUGGUAAGGGAAUAGCUAAGAAAAACCCCUAAUUUCAACCCCAGUUUUUGCCCCCUUUGGUGCAAUUUGAAAACUAAGUAAAAUUUGAGGUUGAGUUCAAAAGCAAAGUUGUAGAUCUUGUCAAGAUGUACAACUUUGGUGUUUUGAGUUUUUGAAGUUUCAGUACAAAAUUCAAAGUAAUUUUGAAAAUACAGAUUUCUAGAAAUUGUCCCCUUUUCCAAUUUGAAUUUCCAAUUCAAAAUAUAUUUGAAAUCUUGAAAGGUGACCAACAUGAAAGUUGUAGAGCUCAACAAGAUGAACAACUUUCAUUUUGGGAAUUUUUCAAGUUAUUGAGAAAAAUCAAAAGUAAUUUUAGAAUUUCUAAUCUGCCCUAAUUCAAAAUUGGAAUUUUCCCCAAUUUGAGAUUUGAAAUUCAAGUUUUUCCACUUAGAAUCAGUUUUGGGCACCAAAAUAUAUUUUGUAGCUUGUAAAAUUCUGCACAACUUUCUUUUUGGUAGAAUUUUGACUGCAGUUUGCUUUUUGGUCGAAAUUUCGGAUAACAGACAAAAAGAGGGGAUAUGGAUGGCUACAGUAGCCGAUGUGGUUCUCGGCGCCCUGUCCAGCGCGGUCGCCGCCCGCGCAGCGCCGCCUGCGUGCGUGAGGGCACGCAGCUCCUUGGCUGCCUGUGUCGCCAGGCGACGUGGAGGCACGGCAUCUCCUUCUUUCGCGAUAAAAGCCUUUCCACCGGACGACAUGCUCGUUUCUUCUCUCGCACCCGACGCCGACGACCCUGCUGCGCUCCUCCAAUUCGCCUUCCUCGCUCCCUUUCCAAACCACUCAAGUGCACCGGCAGCUCCGCCCCGAACCCAGCCACCGAUUGCGCCCCCGAGCGCAAGCUUUAACCCACCGUAAGCCCUCCACCGAGCCGUUCUUCUCCAAGUCCGACCGAAGCGCCGCCGUGGGAGCUUCACCGUGGCCAGGCUUCCACAGGCUACCUCGGUCCAAGAAGUGGCUGCCAACAAGUGUGCCGGACCAUGGAGAUACUCCGUCACUGCUCCGUUGCAGCCAUGGAGCACCCCAACGCUGAAACGGCGAUUUCCGACGAGUUUCUUUGUUUUCCAUUCGCGACCAGGGACCUAGUGCAACAAUUAGAACUUCUGCAGGGGCCUAGCUGGAUAGACCAUGACUCAGGUGAAUAGUGCUAUAAGGACUUGUUUGUAGAUGUUUUGUUGAAUGUUUGAAAAUUCAUAUCUAGAGUUUGGUAGCUCCAAUUUUUCUGAACCAAAUUUUGUUGUGCUCCUUGAGAUGUCUAGUUUUUAUUAAAAAUAUGAAACUGACCAUGUUUUGUAGUAAAAUAAUUGGUUAUGAUUUAUGCCUUUUAAUUAUGUUUAAAAAGGAGAAAUUCAUAUCUUAUUCUGUGUAGAUCCUAUUGCCCUGAAAUUUUUAUGGUAUUCUCAUGAUGUUAUGUGAAUGUUGCAGUAAAAAUUUCAUGUUCAGUAGAUGAUAUAUGGUUAAGUUAUUAAUUUAUCUUGUUUAAUGCUUAUUAAAUAGUUCACAAUUAAACUAAAAAUGAAUAAAUGUAAAAUACAGUUCCUCUGCCUUUAUAUGAGGUUGUUAUAACAUAUAGAUACAUAAUUUAGCUAUGUGUUUGUAUAAAAUGUUGAGUUUCUUAUUUAUCUUGCCGUUACAUGCUUCCUUGUGAUGGAAAUUUAUCUUUUUCAUGAAAAUUGCUAUACUUAUCCAAAUGGCAUGAAACUUAUACAGUAGACUUUGGAGAGCAUAUAUGAGCUGCUGUAGUUUUCUCAGAAUUUACUGUGUACUUUUGAUAUAUGGUUAUUACUUUGUCUAUUUACCUAAAUAAAUUAAUAAAGACAUGAAAGGAAUUUAUUUAGGGAUGACCAUGAUGUUUUCUAGUAUCUCUUUGAUGUAUUUCAACUAUUGGUGAGCUGAGUUUUGCCCAGGUCCAAGUUUGAAACAUAAAUGAAAUGUUAUUUGUCUAUAAUUAAAUUAUUAGUGAUUUCUGGAUCAGUUUCUGUAGUUGUGCAAUUUCGACCUACUAAACUUGUGAAUCAUGAUUUGAUGAUGAAAGAUAAAUUGUAGUAAUUUUCAUAAGCUUUCCAAAAUGUUAUGGAUCAUGACGUUUGGUGAUCUAGAACUCUGGUUAUAGAGGUAUAAAGCUUAAUGUCUGAUUCUGUCCAAAGUCUGGACAGAAUUGUUUAUUCAUGCUGUUUGGCUAUUUUAUCUUUUAAAUCAGUUCUCGAAGAUAAUAACAAAGUUGUAGAAAAUUAUAUAAGCUUUCCAGAAAGCCUAAUAUCACCUUUGUUGGAUGCUUGGAUCUCUAAUUGUGGUUGAAUGAAGUUGUGUAUAUGCUGCUGUCCUGGUUAUGUGUGCAAAUAGAGUUGAUUGUUUUUAGCUAGCCUUUACUUAAAUAAUGAUUAGCUUAAUUUCCAAAUUAGAAUUUGAGUGCUUUUGGGAUUGUGUGAUGACCUGAGGUCAUUAUCUUUCAAUGACCUUUGGCACUUAAUUAUUGUUUGAUGUUAAUACUUAAUUACUGCCAGUAAUAUUUAAUUAAGGAUUGAUUAAGAUAAAUAGAAAACCUAAUCAUUUUAGGUUUUGUUUGAUCUUUGGGAUUGAUUGACAACCAGUGGUUACAUAGCAUGAUAUGCUCCUUGGUUAUAGAUUAUUUCAUAUAAAUGAUCUUUGUUGCCUGAUAGCUACACAACCUUGCUUAAUGAAGAUGAUAAAAUUUACUUAGUAAUAAUCUAUGCUUUGAUAACUAAGUUAGUUUGUUUCUAUACCGUGAAGGUAAGUUGUACUCGAGGUAGUUAUGUUUGUUGUUAUCAUCCAAGAACUUGUAACCUGUCUUUAUCAUGUCAUGAGCAUCUCAUUAAUCAUGCAUAUGCACUUUUACGUGUAGACUACGCUCCGGAGGAAUCUGAUCCUCAGUGGGUUGCUUCCGAGUUUGUGGAUCCAGCUGGUUUUUCUGGUUUUGCUGAGUUGUCGGACUUCUCUUCCGGCCAAGGCAAGCCCCGGACAUUAAACCCUAUCCUUGUAUUUUCAUAAAGUUAUUUAUAUCACUUGAGUUAAUAUGAUGCAUUAGGUGAAUAAGAGUUGAGUGAAUCCUAUUUGCUGCAUUAUCCACCUUGAUGAUUUCCAUAUUAACCUUGAUACUUGUUUUAUGAAAAUACUUAGUAUGCUUAGCCCUGCUUAUUAGAUAGGUUUUCAAAUGAGAAAGUUUGAAGGGUUGUUGUGGAAUACUUUUAUGGUCAAUGAUGUUUCAACUUGAGACCGGUCGGUGGACUUGCUUUAAGAAUGGAGUCUUAAAGUAGUGUCUCCAACUGUGUCGAUUAAGGACCGUUCCAUUGGUGGCCUGCUGUGAUUGAGACCUUUGGGUACAGCCCACAUGCGAUGGUAAGCCUUACCUAUAGCUAUUCCAAUACUUGAGAACGGCUAACCGCGUACUGGGAGUGGAGAGAUGGCGAGAGUAGCGUGUACCCACCUUACGGAUCUGAGAUGACCGGGAAACAUCUGGAUUGGCUGUAGGAUGGUGGUGUACUGUACUCUCGGGUGACGCUGGACCCGUUCUUGUAUGGGAGGAUCUAUAGAAACAGGUUGGCAUAUGCAAGAUUAAGUUCUACAUAUGUCGUGUGGUACUGAAUCCCCAGCUGGGUUUAAUCGAUUCGAAUCGCCGUGUUUCCUCGGAUAUGGAGCCUCAAUCCUCACACCAUCAUCGUAGUAAUAAAUGAAUCUUUGAUAUAAGAAAGAGGUGGUAUGCUUAUGAAAGUUUGAUAAAUAAUUCUGAUUAGUCAUAAAUGAUGAUCUUGAGUUAAAACUUGAAAGUAAGUUUUACUCUUAGUAAGCUUUUAUGCAAAAGAAAUGUUUUGAUCUUGCUAAAGCCUUACUUUAAAUCCUUAUAGCCUGCAUACCUGAGUCUUCACCUCUUUUCUAGUCGGUUAAGUCUUGUUGAGUACUUUUGUACUCAGGGUUUCAUAACCCCUGUUGCAGGUGCUGACUUAGACUGCUAUUGGAGGUCAUGUCGGUGUGCGCGACAUGAUUUAUCCACCUCUUCUACCUUAGAAGCUUCACCUAAGAUGCUUUCGCUACUCUACACACCUUUUGAAAAUUUAGUUAAGUUUGUACUUCAUCAUAUGUUGUAAUUUAAGUUAUAAAUCUUCCGCACUCUGAUGUAAGUUAUUUUUUUUGUAACAAAUGUUGUAAUGUUGUGGUAACUCCAUGUUGAUCCUGUAUGAGUUAAAACGUGGAUGAUUCGGGUUUCCCGAGGACACCCGACAGACUUUUUGAGUCAUUUGGAACUCGUGCACACCGAUCAGAAGUCUUUGAGACAAUGAUGGGUGCAUGUGGGCCAC